rnacentral:rRNA from 1 species
UACGUAGGGUGCAAGCGUUAUCCGGAAUUACUGGGCGUAAAGGGCGCGUAGGCGGAUAGUUUAGUCAGAGGUGAAAGCCCAGGGCUCAACCUUGGAAUUGCCUUUGAUACUGGCUAUCUUGAGUACGGAAGAGGUAUGUGGAACUCCGAGUGUAGAGGUGAAAUUCGUAGAUAUUCGGAAGAACACCAGUGGCGAAGGCGACAUACUGGUCCGUUACUGACGCUGAGGCUCGAAAGCGUGGGGAGCAAACAGG